GACACUGUGGGUCUUUAAGUGGCAUGCUUCUGAAGGACACUGUGGGUCUUUAGGUGGCAUGCUUCAGGGCAGUGUCUUGGGUCUUGUGCUCUUCAUUGAAUCUGUUCUGAGCAGCACUUCAGAAGUGUAGAUUGCAUUUGAUUACUGCUACACUGCUAUUUGGAUUGUUAAUCAAAUUCGUCACGCCGUACUUGACUUUGUGUCUUUUUUUCCCCUUACAUUUGAAUUGUUUCACAUUUUACUGCAUUGUUAGGAGCUAGUAACUUUGCUCCUUGCUAUAAAAACCUGCUAAACUGUGUAUGCAACCAAUAUACUCUGAUUUGAUGUGUGUAUGUACAGCAGUUCUCCCCAGUCCCAGUCCCAAUCACAAUGCUCUUCUCCACCUAUCACUGGGCAAUUACUAUCAGCCGAAUACAAGCAGCAGAACACUGCUAAUUAUUGGAAGCUUUGUUUGACGAAUGUCCUGCAAACUUUGACACAAAAUGGAAGUUAUUGAGUGUUGGGUUUUUAAAUGUGUUAUCUUUAUCAGUUAAGUGGUCCAAGGACCUAAUCAAAGAGAGCAAUCAGUGAAACAAAUUGAGAUAAAUAGUAGUGCGCUCCACAUCUAGGUUUCUACCCUCUAAACUGUUCUGCCUGUCUACCUGUCUGUCUGCUUGCCUGCCUGCCUGCCCACCUGUCUGUCUCCUUGCCUGUCUACCUGCCUGCCUGUCUGUCUACCUCCUUGACUGCCUGUUUACCUGUCUACCUGACUGUCUACCUGUCUCCCUGUCUGCCUGUCUAUCUGUCUGUCUGUCUGUCUGUCUGCCUGCCUGUCUACCUCCCUUCUACCUGUCUGACUGUCUGCCUCUCUGUCUGACUCCUUAUCUUCCUGACACUAUCUGGAGGAGAGACUCUGUAGGAGAAAGACUGGAACCCAGGCUGAUCAUCACUAUCAGGAGGAGAGACUCUGUAGGAGACAGACUGGAACACAGGCUGAUCAGAUCAGGAGGAGAGACUCUGUAGGAGACAGACUGGAACCCAAACUGAUCAGAUCAGGAGGAGAGACUCUGUAGGAGACAGACUGGAACCCAGGCUGAUCAUCACUAUCAGGAGGAGAGACUCUGUAGGAGACAGACUGGAACCCAAACUGAUCAGAUCAGGAGGAGNNNNNNNNNNNNNNNNNNNNNNNNNNNNNNNNNNNNNNNNNNNNNNNNNNNNNNNNNNNNNNNNNNNNNNNNNNNNNNNNNNNNNNNNNNNNNNNNNNNNNNNNNNNNNNNUGUGUGUGUGUGUGUGUGUGUGUGUGUGUCAUUAUGGAGACACCUGUUCCCAACCCUUUUUUCUACCCUCGCUUGGUUCUUUUUAUGGGGGAAAAGUCCUCAAUGAAACUGGCAUUAAAUGUGGAGAAUGAUACAAUUGCCUCUGUUGGCCAUCAAAUAACCUAUUCAUUUAUAUGCCAUGGUAGGCUACCAUUUGAUACAAUACACAUGUUGGAAUGACGAUAUCACUGGAGUCGUUGCAAAUUAAUGUGUGCCACUUGUGUAGCCUACCUGGAGCUGGCAAAUAAUACAUAUUUAUAUUAACUUCAGUGUAUUGUUGUUGUAGCCUUCUGUUAUUAUGCAAUUAUUAAUGGACAUGUUUAGUUAAUUAAAUUGGAAGCUAUCGAAGCUCUAUCGCAAUUGCCGAUUAGUUGUUAGAACGCAUUAGAUUGACAGUAAAAAAAUAGUCAUAUUAAGCUUCAGGUAAUUAAUAUUUAAUAUAUGUAAUUCUACAUCUUGUCUAGGCUACUGUAUACCAUCUGAAAUUAUAUGUAGGCUUAUCAGGAGCUAUAGACUAUCUGCCUUUAUCUACGUAAACCAUGACAGAGUUGAAUUACAAUAAUAAACCCAGAUUUUAGUCCUGUAGCCUAUUGAAAUGACAAGUCAAUCUCACAAAUGAGCCCUUUAUAACGGUUUUGUAUUUAUUCAUUUAUAACCGUUUGUAUUUAUUAACAUCUGGCACAUAAUAACAGCACAUUUACCCGAAAAUAACCUGACAUUAGUUUAUGUUAGUCCAAGUGUUUCUUGCUCAGAGAUUUCGAGAUCCUCUGUCCAACUUUCAUCGCUCAAACUCUCCUGUCGGAUUUAUCUAGUUAUGCACAUGCCCAGAGGGGAUUUAUUUACAAUUGUAAACCUGCUUUGAGCCCUGAAUGCUGAUUGGCUAUUAGCCGUGGUAUAUCAGACUAUAGCAAUACGGCAUACUGGGGGUUUGUGGUAUAUGGCCUAUAUACCACGGCUAACGGCUGUAUCCAGGCACACGCUUAAAAACAGCCCUUGGCCAUGGUAAAUUGGCCAUAUACCAUACGCCCGUGUGCCUUUUUGCUUAAUCAUACCAGUAAAACGAGUUAAAUUGACAUCCAUUGAUGGAAAAUUGUCUGGCGAGUUUAAUGAGGGCGAAUUAUCUUUUCUCCUGCGACAUAUUCACAUUCCUUCAUUAUGUCGUGUCAUAGCUCACAAUAAGUAUGUUGAUGAAAACCGAAUUUAUCUUCUAACGUCGUUACAAGUUACUACGAUAUUCGUUCUUAAUUCACUCGAUAACGUUAUGGAAACAGGGUUUAUUAUAUAAAUAUGUCAACUCCUCUUUCGCUUUAAAAAAAAAAUUAAUAUAUUUUUUUCUAAAAAAGGGCUAGUUUUAAGGCCUUUUGUGCGGGUUUUGAAUGGUCAAUCGGCUAGAAAUGUCCGUAAACCCUGGCAACCCUGCUUAGCUGUACCCCAUCUAGUCACAACCAGAGUCCAUCUAUGUUGGAUCAUUAUAGGCUAGGCUACUGCACAACGUGCACAUAAUACCAGCUACAUCACUGUGUGAGCAUGGACACGGACAGACAAUGCAUUGGGGGAUAAUGCUGCUUUAGCAUACUGAAUAACAUUAUCUUGUCUUGAUAUGCCAAAAUUGUGAGAGCAAUCUAAUAACGGGCGUGUGUAUUGCAAUGAUCGCACAUCACAGAUCGUAGCAUAAAUCUCAAUUGACUGUCAAGGCGCUACUACCGUACAUUCUAACAAAGCGCCGGCAUGUUCGUCCGCCUAUAAACGUUGUUUUGACAUUUCAGACAAAGAAUAAAUGUGUCAAGAACAGACUACAGCAUAGGUAACCGGUACAGUGCAUGAGCACAUGGUAUAGGUAGCCUAAUGAUAAUGAAUGAUGAUCCAGGUUCUUUUGUUCCACAUGCUGCACUACACAUGUGCCCAAACCUAAGCCCGCAAAAAGAGUAAGAAUGCUUUGACAUAACAUUGUGGGUGAAGAAAUAUGUCCAAUGGUAUUUUAAAAAGUUUCACUCACCGGAAUAGGAAGUCUGCCUGGACCAAUGUUUUGGAGAGCCCGCGAGCACUAGAUUGAUGUCCCGGGUGGAACCGUGGAAAAUAAUGUUACUGUCACAGCGUUCAAUCACUCCAUUAAACACAGAAUAAUAAUACAACAACUGACAAGUACUCUCUGUCGGACAACCCCUUUUAUAAAGCCAACCUGAAACACACCCGCAUCAUUCCAUAAACACGCCUUGUCCCUAGCGAUCUACAGUGCGCUGAAAUGUGUCCCAUCGUUCACACCCUCUCUUCCGCAAUAUACUGUAGUAGGCUACACAUUGGCGACAGCGCUUCCUUUCACUUGCUUUCACUUUAAAGUGCCACUGUACAAAUAACCUACAGUAGGCUAUCCUACACAUAUUUUUGUUAGCAUAUGGAGUCUUUAGAACAGUCUUAAGCACCUAUAGGAAAAUUGUUGACCUUCGUAACGCGGUUCGCAUGUCAACAGUAGCCUACACAUAUAGAG
rnacentral:lncRNA from 13 species